rnacentral:misc_RNA from 1 species
GAUGAAGAACGCAGCGAAAUGCGAUAAGUUGUGUGAAUUGCAGAAUUCAGUGAAUCAUCGAAUCUUUGAACGCACAUUGCGCCCCUUGGUAUUCCAUGGGGCAUGCCUGUUCGAGCGUCAUUUGUACCUUCAAGCUCUGCUUGGUGUUGGGUGUUUGUCUCGCCUCUGCGUGUAGACUCGCCUCAAAACAAUUGGCAGCCGGCGUAUUGAUUUCGGAGCGCAGUACAUCUCGCGCUUUGCACUCAUAACGACGACGUCCAAAAGUACAUUUUUACACUCUUGACCUCGGAUCAGGUAGGGAUACCCGCUGAACUUAAGCAUAUCAAUAAGCGGAGGA